GACAGCUUGGCCGAGUGGUCAAGGCACCCUCCUGCUAAGCGUGUACUCCCGAGUGUCGAAUCCUGCAGCUGUCG